rnacentral:rRNA from 1 species
UACGUAGGGUCCGAGCGUUGUCCGGAAUUACUGGGCGUAAAGAGCUCGUAGGUGGUUUGUCGCGUUGUUCGUGAAAACUCACAGCUUAACUGUGGGCGUGCGGGCGAUACGGGCAGACUGGAGUACUGCAGGGGAGACUGGAAUUCCUGGUGUAGCGGUGAAAUGCGCAGAUAUCAGGAGGAACACCGGUGGCGAAGGCGGGUCUCUGGGCAACAACUGACGCUGAGGAGCGAAAGCGUGGGGAGCAAACAGG